UACGUAGGGUGCAAGCGUUAAUCGGAAUUACUGGGCGUAAAGCGUGCGCAGGCGGUUUUGUAAGACAGAGGUGAAAUCCCCGGGCUCAACCUGGGAACUGCCUUUGUGACUGCAAGGCUUGAGUGCGGCAGAGGGGGAUGGAAUUCCGCGUGUAGCAGUGAAAUGCGUAGAUAUGCGGAGGAACACCGAUGGCGAAGGCAAUCCCCUGGGCCUGCACUGACGCUCAGGCACGAAAGCGUGGGGAGCAAACAGG
rnacentral:rRNA from 1 species